CUUUACUCUAGCUUGGCACUGAGUCGUACAUAUAUUUGUGCAGGAUAGGUGGGAGACUAUGAAAGAUGGACGCCAGUUCAUCUCGAGUCGUCGUUGAGAUACCACCCUUGUAUAUGUGUGCCUCUAACCCCUUUUUGGGGGACCGUGCUUGGUGGGGAGUUUAACUGGGGCGGUUGCCUCCUAAAACGUAACGGAGGCGCACAAAGGUAGGCUAGGUCCGGAUGGAAAUCGGACUGGUCGUGUAUUCGCACAAGCCUGCUUGACUGAGAGACCUACAAGUCGAUCAGAGACGAAAGUCGGUGAAAGUGACCCGGCACCAACAUGUGGGAGUGGUGUCGCUCAACGGAUAAAAGUUA
rnacentral:rRNA from 1 species